GAAUGUCUCCUUUAGAGGAUUAUUACCAUAAUUAUGGUAGACACGCUUCUAAGCCCUGAGAAAUUUUGAAAAGAAAGAUACAAGUGGCAAAUUUGUAUAGAUUACCGACUGUGGAAUCCUUUCUCGGGUGGCAUUUUGAAAAGUUGGUCAUUCACACAAUCCAUGCUAAAUAUAAAGACAAUUAAAUGGCAGUACUAUAGAACACUUGUCCUUUGGGGAGAAAAAAAAAUCCCUCAGGAAAAAGAAUACUGAAACUAUCGGUAGCCCCUGUUGGUUACAUUAAACCUAAUAAAAUUACUAAUGAUAAAUUUCUCGUCAAUGAGCGUUCCCUGCUGUGCCGGCUUCAGUCCCAGUGAACGAGGCAGGGAAGUUGAAUUAUUGGUUAGACUCAUUUUAUUGGCUUGGGCUUUGGGGGGUGCAGUGGGUUAUAUGGGAGAUUCUUUUCAUGUUUUGCUUUUUUCUCCUCAAGAAGCAGAUGGUUUUGUCUUUAGUUUCAAAUGUCCAAAAAAAAAAAAAAAAAAGAUCAGGGUGAUCAUUAGAAGGCAGGAAUUUGUACAUGGGCGCUUCCCAAAACACCUAAUGUCAAUCUCAGCCCCUGUGCCUGGAAGGACUGCCGAGGUCUCAGCUGAGGGAACAGUGGGGGAGGAGAAAAGGGCAGAAUUGCUGGUCAUGAGCCUGACUGAUGGGUGGACCCUGGCAGAGGAAGGGAGGGGAGAACCUGUUAGGAAUGGUAAAGGGAGAGAGGGGGUUUCCCGGGUGGCACUAGUGGUAAAGAACCCACCAGCCAUUGCAGGAUAUGCAGGAGACAUAAGCCCUGAGUUGGGAAGAUCCCUAACCCACUCCAGUGUUCGUGCCUGGAGAAUUCCAUGGACAGAGGAGCCUGGUGGGCCACAGUCCACGGGAUUGCAAAGAGUUGGACAUGACAGAAGCAUUCAUGCAAAGGCUGUGAAAUGGGUGGGCUGGGGCUGCUCUACAGACAGCUGCGGCACCAAGGGCUCGUGCACCAUCACACAGGUCUG
rnacentral:lncRNA from 1 species